GUCCCCAUCAUCUAGUGGUCAAGGAUGCCACCCUUUCACGGUGGUCACAGGGGUUCAAAUCCCCUUGGGGACGCCA
rnacentral:tRNA from 1 species